rnacentral:rRNA from 1 species
CAGUCGCCGCGGUAAUACGUAGGUGGCGAGCGUUGUCCGGAAUCAUUGGGCGUAAAGGGAGCGCAGGCGGGCAAGUAAGUCUUUCUUAAAAGUUCGGGGCUCAACCCCGUGAUGGGAAAGAAACUACAUGUCUUGAGUACAGGAGAGGAAAGCGGAAUUCCCAGUGUAGCGCUGAAAUGCGUAGAUAUUGGGAGGAACACCAGUGGCGAAGGCGGCUUUCUGGACUGCAACUGACGCUGAGGCUCGAAAGCCUGGGGAGCGAACGGGAUUAGAUACCCCAGUAGUCCCUGUCUCUUAUACC